ensembl:miRNA
UAAGGACGAGUAAUGCAGAGGUUAGCGGGAAAAUCUUCAAAGGGUAAAUCUCUCUUUGCUUGUCUCCUCU